rnacentral:rRNA from 1 species
UACGAAGGGGGCAAGCGUUGUCCGGAAUUAUUGGGCGUAAAGCGCGCGCAGGCGGCUAGUUAAGUCAGAUGUGAAAGGCUGCGGCUCAACCGCAGAGCUGCAUCUGAAACUGAUUAGCUUGAGUGCAGGAGAGGAUAGUGGAAUUCCCGGUGUAGCGGUGGAAUGCGUAGAGAUCGGGAGGAACACCUGUGGCGAAGGCGACUGUCUGGACUGUAACUGGCGCUGAGGCGCGAAAGCGUGGGGAGCAAACAGG